CUGUAGUGCAUGAGAGAAAACACAACCAACCUUAGUGCACCUUCAAGAGACCAAGGUCCCUGGUCCUCCGCACAGUUUUUGCCAGAUGCUUGUGAUCUGAUUCAUCACUGCCUGAUCUUAAAUCCAAAUCAACGAGUGCCAAUCAAUCAGACCUUAGCACAUGACUGGUUUAAGAGUGACGCCCUUCUGGACAUAAAUCCAUAUAAACAACCAUCAAUCUUUGAAGAUGUAUGGACUCCGGAUGAAUGGGAUAGAAAAUACACAGGCCUCACAAAAGGAGAAGAAGAUUCCAAAAAAUGAGAGAGUAUCUUGCAGUCUAGUGUGAAGUAAAAGCCUCGUUCAGACCGCCAGCGACUUUCUCACUGUGUGUCGUCGUGUGAGGGAGACAUUGGUGAACUACUUCUGUGCUGAGGGUCAGGCUUAUCGAAAGCCACAUGCAUAAAAGAUUCUUAAGAAGCAAACCAAAGGCUCUUUUAAAAGCCACCCACAUCUGAAUAAAAGAGCAAUUUUCAAUCCGUCAUUUCAUACUUAUUAUAACCAUUUAAACACCAAUGCAUAAAGUAUGGAUAUGGUAAACACACAAUAAAAGGCUAUGAAAUUGUAUAUAUACACACACCAUAUAAAUAUAUAGUAAAUAGUUAAGUAUGUGA